AAAAAGUUGUCUGACAUCCCUACUCUCCUCUCUCCAGGUUCGAGAUGAUUGAUCCUCCCGGAGACACGAGCAUCUGGUGAUUUUUAGAUGUGAUCCUCAGCUGUGGACAGAGAACAUGAGGCUGCCCAGUGCGUUUCCCGGGCCCUGAGGACCAUCCCUCUACAGUUUGGACUGUCAAGUCAAUUCUCGGGAGUUGCCCUGCCGUUGAGAGAGAGCUGCAGGCUGCAUUGUCAUCUCAAAGGAAAGGUGUUUGUCGUGUGUGUGUGUGUGUGUGUGUGUGUGUGUGUGUACACACGUGCACGAAGAGGGGUGAGGUGGUUUAAUUAGGUGGGGAGAUAUAACAGUGAGGAAGUGGUUGCCAUUGUUGACACAGAAGCUGGUUCUGAAAAUGGGGACUGGGACUCUGUGCAAGGCACAGGUUCUAUUUGACUUGAUUUAGGGACUGAAGACCCGGGGCCUUGAAUUCUAAGAUGCAUCAAAGUCUUGCCUUUCAGAGCCACCCUGCCCAUCUUCAAUCACCAAAGCAGCGAUUGUUCUGCGUCUGACAAUGGCUUCUGGGGAAGCUAGGUAGCUGAUGCUUUGUCCGAAGUAAGGCAGGGCCGGUCACUGUUUACCUCAUCUGCUGCUGAGAAAUUGAGCUGUUGGGAUUUGUAGGAGAUGGAUGUUAGUUG